AACCUUUACUAUAGCUUGACACUGAACAUUGAGCCUUGAUGUGUAGGAUAGGUGGGAGGCUUGGAAGUGUGGACGCCAGUCUGCAUGGAGCCGACCUUGAAAUACCACCCUUUAAUGUUUGAUGUUCUAACGUUGACCCGUAAUCCGGGUUGCGGACAGUGUCUGGUGGGUAGUUUGACUGGGGCGGUCUCCUCCUAAAGAGUAACGGAGGAGCACGAAGGUUGGCUAAUCCUGGUCGGACAUCAGGAGGUUAGUGCAAUGGCAUAAGCCAGCUUGACUGCGAGCGUGACGGCGCGAGCAGGUGCGAAAGCAGGUCAUAGUGAUCCGGUGGUUCUGAAUGGAAGGGCCAUCGCUCAACGGAUAAAAGGUACUCCGGGGAUAACAGGCUGAUACCGCCCAAGAGUUCAUAUCGACGGCGGUGUUUGGCACCUCGAUGUCGGCUCAUCACAUCCUGGGGCUGAAGUAGGUCCCAAGGGUAUGGCUGUUCGCCAUUUAAAGUGGUACGCGAGCUGGGUUUAGAACGUCGUGAGACAGUUCGGUCCCUA
rnacentral:rRNA from 1 species